rnacentral:rRNA from 1 species
UACGUAGGGGGCGAGCGUUGUCCGGAAUCAUUGGGCGUAAAGAGCGUGUAGGCGGCUUGGCAAGUCUGACGUGAAAGCCCGCGGCUCAACCGCGGAUUGUCGUUGGAAACUGCCUCGCUAGAGUCCGGAAGAGGAGAGCGGAAUUCCUGGUGUAGCGGUGGAAUGCGCAGAUAUCAGGAAGAACACCAAUGGCGAAAGCAG